rnacentral:rRNA from 1 species
GACGAACGCUGGCGGCGUGCCUAAUACAUGCAAGUCGAGCGAAGCGGCGGUUGGGUGAGUAACGCGUGGGUAACCUGCCCUUAAGUCUGGGAUACCAUUUGGAAACAGAUGCUAAUACCGGAUACUAAAGUAUGUCCUGUCGAUGCAUUAGCUAGUUGGUAAGGUAACGGCUUACCACGGCGAUGAUGCAUAGCCGAGUUGAGAGACUGAUCGGCCACAUUGGGACUGAGACACGGCCCAAACUCCGACGGGAGGCAGCAGUGGGGAAUCUUCCACAAUGGAAGAAAGUCUGAUGGAGUAACGCCGCGUGAGUGAAGAAGGUUUUCGGAUGGUAAAGCUCUGUUGUUGGGGAAGCGGUAAUCAACCAGAAAGUCACGGCUAACUACGUGCCAGCAGCCGCGGUAAUAC